rnacentral:lncRNA from 1 species
CACAUGGAGAGGUGGUGACUUCUGCAGCGGAGCAUGGCAAGGAGUCGAGUGCGUCGCUGGAAGGGUUACCAAGCUGAUCAUGCAGAGGCCAUCAUCAUCAGAAGCCCUCUUCAUGACUGCCAAACUGUCCCAUUCUCUCAGCAAUCUGCAAUUCUUGGAGGUAUUGAUAAUUAGUGGGAUGAAGCACAUUGCAGGAACAAUUCCACACAGUUUUGCCAAUCUCACACAUCUCACACACCUUGCUCUUGAAGAUAAUUCAUUGCAUGGAACAAUCCCAUCAAGUUUAGGCCUGUUGGGAAACCUUCAGACAAUGUCAUUGAGUGGGAAUCUUCUGACUGGAAAGAUUCCACCAGCUUUGGGGAAUUUAAGG